CUUCUGUGCUGUGAGAAGCUUCCAGAAGAACAAGGCCAAGCUGUCUCAGCAUCAGAGAGCAUUUCAUGAGUGGUCUCUGGAGCUGCACUGCCUGCCCUCUUGGCUCUGACUGCACUUACCAAACACAGCACCCUUGGGAACAGUGCUGAGUGUGACCCCAGUCCUACUGAGAAAGCUUUUUCAUCCAUUUCUUUUACAAGCUGCUGUUGCCACAGUUCUCCUUGAGGAGUCUUGACAAUUGAUCCAAGCUGAUGGCCACACUUCCACAAAGUGCUGUACAGGAACUGCCAAACCUGUUUCCUACUUAAAAUAUUACCCUAUCUUGAACCACCAAAGUGAUGAGCUGUUUUUCACUGACUUGUACAUGGCCUUUUAAAACACUGAUUCUGGGGACUGGCAGACCUGGUCUGUGAGAAUCACAACAAAUGAAACUUGACUCUUGCAUACAAACUGAUGGAAGCCACAUUUGUAGCAUUUCUCAGACCUCUCCUGGAGAGAGCAAGGAUCUCUUCAUUUUAAGUCUCAUCCUGGGUAUCUUCUUUAACAAAAAUUUGAAGUUCUUAAUAACUUUAAAGGAGUAUCUACUACUUUAUCAAAUUUGUCUCAAAUCAGCCUAUGUGCUCAAAACCUAUUAACAGGACAUGUGUGCUAUGGUUGCACAAAUCUCCUUUCCUUACUAAACUAGGCCAAAUACCUCUAAGAAGCCAAAUGAAAGUUCAAUCUUUUAGAAAUUACAUGAAAAAAAAAAUUUCUUUUUGACAAUCCUACCAAAUUUAGUAUCAUGUUAAUCCUACUAUUCAAAUAUGCAGGAAUAAAUAAGAAAUUAUAUUCUUUACAUGCAUUUUUGACUCUUCCUCUAUGCUUCUACAUGAGAAGUAAUUUUCAAUCAAGCUGUUUAGAACACCUGAGAUAUUCCUCAGCAAAUGAUUGCCUUGUCUGAGCCCAGUCAAUAUUGACACCAACGAGGCAUGCAUCACCAUGCAUUCAGAUGCAUUUUGCAUUUGGAUUGAAGAACAAACCACUCCAGGCUGUCAGACACACAUAACCCAGGUAGGAUGCAUGCAUUCUGCCUUGUACUUUGCCAAGGGAACUCUAAACUGGCAAAAUUUUAGUUGAGGACCAAAUAUUCAAGAAUCUGGAGAUGAUGGAGAGC